rnacentral:miRNA from 1 species
UAUCGUAUCGUUUGUUAUUGGUAUGAGCUUUCGUGUGCAUGCACACUUCUUCAGAUAUCUGUAUCAUAUAUUCAGAUAUCUGAAUCAUUAUCUGUAUCUGAAGAAGUGUGCAUGCACACGAAAGCUCAUACCGAUAACAAACUUAGUUGG